rnacentral:lncRNA from 1 species
AUUAUCACCUAGUAUGUAUUAAAAUCUAAGUCAUUUAAGUAACUUUUGGUCAUGUGUCACUCGUAAAUAAAGUUAUAGAAAAAUUGUCUUAAUUUGAUGGGUUGGCUGACUAAAACCCCCUAGAAACAUCCAAACCCUAUCUAAUCACACUCAUAUUACUUAUCUCCUCACCGGACUACAUGAGUAUAUAACUUCUCUUCGCAUUGCUCUCCAAUCUUUUUAAUCAUACCUAUAUCCUCCUAUGUAAUCCAAAUUCAAAACCAAAACUAAAGGGGUCUAAAUCGCAUUUUGUGAAUAGUGAUUUCCCAUCUAAAAAAUUUGAUUCAACAUGACUCGACUCAGCAUAUACCAAACUCAAAUUGAUUUGGAGAAAAUUUUAAUUAG